rnacentral:rRNA from 1 species
AAACCAACCGGGAUUGCCUUAGUAACGGCGAGUGAAGCGGCAAAAGCUCAAAUUUGAAAUCUGGUACCUUCGGUGCCCGAGUUGUAAUUUGGAGAGGGUAACUUUGGGGCCGUUCCUUGUCUAUGUUCCUUGGAACAGGACGUCAUAGAGGGUGAGAAUCCCGUGUGGCGAGGAGUGCGGUUCUUUGUAAAGUGCCUUCGAAGAGUCGAGUUGUUUGGGAAUGCAGCUCUAAGUGGGUGGUAAAUUCCAUCUAAAGCUAAAUAUUGGCGAGAGACCGAUAGCGAACAAGUACAGUGAUGGAAAGAUGAAAAGAACUUUGAAAAGAGAGUGAAAAAGUACGUGAAAUUGUUGAAAGGGAAGGGCAUUUGAUCAGACAUGGUGUUUUGUGCCCUCUGCUCCUUGUGGGUAGGGGAAUCUCGCAUUUCACUGGGCCAGCAUCAGUUUUGGUGGCAGGAUAAAUCCAUAGGAAUGUAGCUUGCCUCGGUAAGUAUUAUAGCCUGUGGGAAUACUGCCAGCUGGGACUGAGGACUGCGACGUAAGUCAAGGAUGCUGGCAUAAUGGUUAUAUGCCGC